UACAGAGGGUGCAAGCGUUGUUCGGAAUUAUUGGGCGUAAAGGGCGCGUAGGCGGUGCGGUAAGUCUGUAGUGAAAUCUCUGGGCUCAACUCAGAGUCUGCUAUAGAAACUGCCGUGCUUGAGUGUGGGAGAGGUGAGUGGAAUUCCCGGUGUAGCGGUGAAAUUCGUAGAUAUUAGGAAGAACACCAGUGGCGAAGGCGGCUCACUGGCCCGGUACUGACGCUGAGGCGCGAAAGCGUGGGGAGCAAACAGG
rnacentral:rRNA from 1 species